rnacentral:rRNA from 1 species
CCUACGGGGGGCUGCAGUGGGGAAUAUUGGACAAUGGGCGAAAGCCUGAUCCAGCCAUGCCGCGUGUGUGAAGAAGGCCUUCGGGUUGUAAAGCACUUUCAGUGGGGAAGAAAGCCUUGGGGCUAAUACCCUCGAGGAAGGACAUCACCCACAGAAGAAGCACCGGCUAACUCCGUGCAAGCAGCCGCGGUAAUACGGAGGGUGCGAGCGUUAAUCGGAAUUACUGGGCGUAAAGCGCGCGUAGGCGGUCUGAUAAGCCGGUUGUGAAAGCCCCGGGCUCAACCUGGGAACGGCAUCCGGAACUGUCAGACUAGAGUGCAGGAGAGGAAGGUAGAAUUCCCGGUGUAGCGGUGAAAUGCGUAGAGAUCGGGAGGAAUACCAGUGGCGAAGGCGGCCUUCUGGACUGACACUGACGCUGAGGUGCGAAAGCGUGGGUAGCAAACAGGAUUAGAUACCCCAGUAGUC